ACCAAGGCUUAAAUGGGAAAUGACAGGUUUAGAAAUAGACUUUUCUUCGGACAUUUUUCAAGGUGCUGCAUGGUUGUCGUCAGCUCGUGCCGUGAGGUGUUAGGUUAAGUCCUGCAACGAGCGCAACCCCUGUCACUAGUUGCCAUCAUUAAGUUGGGGACUCUAGUGAGACUGCCUAUGCAAGUAGAGAGGAAGGUGGGGAUGACGUCAAAUCAUCACGGCCCUUACGCCUUGGGCCACACACGUAAUACAAUGGCCGGUACAGAGGGCAGCUACACAGUGAUGUGAUGCAAAUCUCGAAAGCCGGUCUCAGUUCGGAUUGGAGUCUGCAACUCGACUCUAUGAAGCUGGAAUCGCUAGUAAUCGCGCAUCAGCCAUGGCGCGGUGAAUACGUUCCCGGGCCUUGUACACACCGCCCGUCACACCAUGGGAGUGGGUUGCACCAGAAGUAGCUAGUCUAACCUUCGGGGGGACGGUUACCACGGUGUGAUUCAUGACUGGGGUGAAGUCGUAACAAGGUAGCCGUA
rnacentral:rRNA from 1 species